CAAAAUCAACGUAGUAGAAAAAUCAACCCUCCAAUAUUCAAAUAAGGCGUUCUCAGACCAUUGAAACCUAUAAAUAUACACAGCUCAGCAAAGCAGGUUUUUGUUAUUUUCUCUUUCUCUAGCUAAUAUUAAUGGCAGGUGAGUGUAUGAGGUCUGCUCUGGUGACCCUCUUCAUCUUUGCCAUGGUACUCUCUCCUAUUUUGAACUCUGAGGCAGCUCGAUUCACUUUUCCAGAUACAACUCCUAUAUGUCCUGAUUGUGUGUGCUGCGCACCUCCACCACCAGGCUAUUGCUGCGAUUGUAAUUGUGCUGCACCAAUUAA